AACGCACAUUGCGCCCUUUGGUAUUCCUUAGGGCAUGCCUGUUCGAGCGUCAUUUAAACCCUCAAGCUCCGCUUGGUGUUGGGUGUCUGUCCUGCCCCCCGGGGCCGGGACUCGCCUUGAAAUCAUUGGCGGCUAGUACAUUGGCUUCGAGCGCAAGCAGAAACGCGAACCUCGGGUCCCGGUGUAUUGGCUCCCAUAAGCUACCCUUCUAUUUUGACCUCGGAUCAGGUAGGGAUACCCGCUGAACUUAA
rnacentral:misc_RNA from 2 species